AGAAUCAACGCUGGCGGCGCGCCUAACACAUGCAAGUCGAACGAGAAAGUGGAGCAAUCCAUGAGUAAAGUGGCGUACGGGUGAGUAACACGUGGAUUAUCUGCCCUUUUGUGGGGAAUACCGCUGGGAAACCGGCGACAAUACCGCAUAAGCUCGAGAGAGGAAAGCCCGCAAGGGCGCAGAAGGAGGAGUCCGCGGUCGAUUAGUUAGUUGGCAGGGUAAAGGCCUACCAAGACUGUGAUCGAUAGCCGGCCUGAGAGGGCACACGGCCGACACUGGCACUGAAACACGGGCCAGACUCCUACGGGAGGCAGCAGUGGGGAAUCUUGCACAAUGGGGGAAACCCUGAUGCAGCGACGCCGCGUGAGCGAUGAAGCCCCUCGGGGUGUAAAGCUCUUUCGGCAGGGAAGAUUAUGACGGUACCUGCAAAAGCAGCUGCGGCUAACUACGUGCCAGCAGCCGCGGU
rnacentral:rRNA from 1 species